CCUUCACCCCCCACCUCCCCGCCUUCUUUUCUUUUAUACUAAGUGUUCGUGCAAAUGCAUGUAUAAAUUAUUUUAAUUUAUAUCAAAUCACUAUAAAUUUUUACAUUAUAUUUAUUAAAAAUUUACAAUAAAAAUUAUGUUUUAGAAAUUAAUAUAUUAUAUUUUAUUGGAAAAUAUCUCCAAUAUCCUAUAUUAAUUUUUCAAUAUAUUCAUUGAAUAUUUUUAUAUAUUUUUUGAAUUCCGAUAAAUUUAAAAUUUAAGUAUAUUGUUUAAACCAAAAGUGUCAAAAUUUAAUUUACAUUUACUUUGAAAUUUAAAAUUUAAUUUUGAUUUACCGUAAUUAAAUAUUUUAAUUAUUAAUUCAAAUUGAUAUCCAAAAUUUACAAAUUUAAAUUUGUUAAAAUUUAAUUUUGAUCCACUGUAAUUAUAACUUUUAAUCGUUAAUUCAAAUUUGAUAUCCAAAAUUAAAUUAAAUUCAUUAUUUAAACUCAAAUUUUAAUUUUAAUAAAAAAUCUAUGGAUAGAAAUGCUAUUUUUUAACAAAUUAAUCAUUAGACCAAUUUGCAUAAAAAAUCUACAAAUUUUGAGCUUUUGCAAAACUGGGCUGCUUUUUUCGAUUUUGCAGAUUCUGUCCGAAUUUUCAGCAAACUGACCAAAAUACCCUUACUAUUUUUUCUCUCUCCUCUUUUUUUUCUCUCGUUCAUUUUUUUUUCUCUCACCGAA
rnacentral:lncRNA from 1 species